rnacentral:rRNA from 1 species
GAACGCUAGCUACAGGUCUUAACACAUGCAAGUCCCGAGGGGCAGCAUGGAAGAAGCUUGCUUCUUCUGAUGGCGACCGGCGCACGGGUGCGUAACGCGUAUCAAACCUGCCUCAUACUCGGGGAUAGCCUUGCGAAAGUAAGAUUAAUACCCGAUGUUGUUAUGUUUCCGCAUGGUGAUAUAACCAAAGAUUUAUCGGUAUGAGAUGGUGAUGCGUCCGAUUAGGUAGUAGGCGGGGUAACGGCCCACCUAGCCAUCGAUCGGUAGGGGUUCUGAGAGGAAGGUCCCCCACACUGGAACUGAGACACGGUCCAGACUCCUACGGGAGGCAGCAGUGAGGAAUAUUGGUCAAUGGACGGAAGUCUGAACCAGCCAAGUAGCGUGCAGGAUGACGGCCCUCUGGGUUGUAAACUGCUUUUAGUUGGGAAUAAAAAAGAGGACGUGUUCUCUAUUGUAUGUACCUUCAGAAAAAGGACCGGCUAAUUCCGUGCCAGCAGCCGCGGUAAUACGGAAGGUCCAGGCGUUAUCCGGAUUUAUUGGGUUUAAAGGGAGCGUAGGCGGAUUAUUAAGUCAGUGGUGAAAGACGGUGGCUCAACCAUCGUUAGCCAUUGAAACUGGUAGUCUUGAGUGCAGACAGGGAUGCUGGAACUCGUGGUGUAGCGGUGAAAUGCUUAGAUAUCACGAUGAACUCCGAUCGCGAAGGCAGGUGUCCGGGCUGCAACUGACGCUGAGGCUCGAAAGUGUGGGUAUCAAACAGGAUUAGAUACCCUGGUAGUCCACACAGUAAACGAUGUAUACUCGCGGUUUGCGAUAUAAUGUAAGCCGCCAAGCGAAAGCAUUGGAGGUAUACCACCUGGGGAGUACGCCGGCAACGGG